rnacentral:hammerhead_ribozyme from 1 species
GCACUGCUGACGAGUCCCGAACAGGACGAAACAGCUGUCCAUUGC